UCUCUUGGUUUGUUUUCUCUGGAUUAUGAAGUCACGAUUUUUUGUUCUCACUCAGAUUAAUACUCAUGGUCUGUAGUAUCUUCAUCUCAACAACUUCAUAUUAUCAGCAACAAUGUGGAUACUCGAAGCUGUUUUCAAAAGGGAGAUUUUGAGGUUUUAAAUGAAUGACUUGCAAAUACUAAUCUUUGGUCCAUUUAAGGAACUGGAAGAAGUAGGGGUGAUGGAAGAGUUGGAAAAGGAAGUAAAAUCGAAGGACAACUUUCAAAAGGAUCAUGAAUGAUUGAUCACAUUGUUCAUAAGCAUACAAGUCAUUUCACAAUUCUUAUCGAUUGAGGAAGGGGAUUUGUGAUGUAUUUGACUGUAGAGAAAAUGUAACUCUAUUGAUGAAAUGAAUUUGUAUUUAUUUAGGAUCU